GAAGAUGCCACAGCAAACCUCUGAGCAACCAAGAUGACAAGCACCUGCUUGGAAAAGGUGACAAGCCACAAGGCCAUAGGCCCAGUUAUAAGGAUGAAUUGUGUUACACGAAUGGUUAUAAACCUGACCGACCUCAGAAGGUAUAUGGAGGAGGCAAUUAUCAAGCCCCUUGAUGGUCUGUGGCUGGAUGCACCAUACUUUGCCAACGGUGUGAGCAUGGCAGAGAAUGUAGGUGUGUAUAUAGGGGAAAACCUCCAGAAAGUUUUUUCUGUGGGAGUUCUUUGUAA
rnacentral:lncRNA from 1 species